AGAAGCGAGUUUCGGAGGGAGGAUCCUUGCCUCCGGAGAAUAUUGUAUUAUACCAAUAAUCGCAGAGUGCAUAUAGCACGAGCGAUCGAAAGAUUGUCAUUAGCCAGGCGUAGAACGGCUGAACGAUUCAUGAAUUGACGACGAGGUGGUAAUGCUCUAAAAACAUGAGCUGGUCAAUCGCCGGCACGUGGAACAGAGUUCAGAAGCGGUGAUUUGCAUGUAAGUACAGUAACGGUACAUACGUUGUAUAAUUUCCCGUCAUAGACAUGCGGACGUUCUUGGAGGAACGGUACAUCGGGGGAGAGGACACGUCGUAGGUGCGUAUUCCCUGGUUUUAAGUACACACAUCUGCCGCCAAAGGUUUACAAUGGCGAACCCGCCGCGAGGAGAGAACCGUGCAAAUGUCGUGGAAUGCGGCAUCUGUACUCCAAGGCGAACCACUCCGCGAGGCUGCACCCUAGAUUUCAAUACCCGCACACAACCGCGGCUACGGGAGUGUCAAGUGUCUGGGUUCCGAACGAGAUCUCGCCGAGGAGCCGCAGGUCGUACCUUCGAAACAAGACGUCGACGGUCCUCGAAAGGACGCGGCCUUUUGGGACUACACCGAAGGUCCGGAGGUUCCAGACCAUUAGCCGUUGGUAUCAAGUCUCGGCGAACUAAUUUAUGCCGAUCCGUAGAAACGAUAGUCGAGUUCGCUCGAUGUCGGGGUUUGGAAAAUUAUCAGGACCACUGUAGCCAAUUUCCAUUUAAAAAGCGGGCCAAAGAGACCCGGGUAAAGGAUUUUAUAGCCUCUGAUUGAGAAUGCCAGUCUAUGGGUUAUGAAGGGAAACGUAGCUGCUGGAUUGGAGAGGAUUUCGAAAGAACGGUAAGUUCAUUUCAUCAUUUUUGUGGAACGAAUUCUGAUACGCUCUUGCAAAAUUCUCUUCAAAUGGGUACGAAAAACAUGUUUAGUAUUUAAUCCGCAACGGAACUGCUCUAAGCAUUUCGCGUUGAAUAUAUAAUAAUGUAUAAUAUAAUAAUAUAUGAUACGGUUAUCCUUCGUGGUAAUGAAAAAUGCCACUAUCCUAUGAAAGUGUUUCAAGGAUUUCCGUUCACGGUUAGUCCCGGGGCAUCUAGGAGAGUCAGUUUUUAGGUGCUUACGACUCGAAGAGCAACUACCGGAACGCCCCUUAUGCGGAUAUAUUCAAGUUUAUCUGCCGUACGUAAGUCAGGGUCUGAUCACGUGUCUCUCUAUACAUGACAUCGAUCAAUCUUGGCUGCGUUAACCGUAGGCGUGCAGAUUCCAAUCUAAGGGGUGGGCCAGAGGUUAUUUAUUCAAGUUUCAUUCCCCUUUCACCUCGAGUAUGCUACUUGUAACCACGCUGCACGUAAUUUCAGUUUUCAAAGGUUUGCAUGCCUCGCAACAUUUACGUUGACUUCAUUCAACUGUUGCAGAAGUAUCGGCCCGUAGAGAGUAUGGCCUUUAACUAACAUGCACUUAUAUUUCGAAAGAAGAUUACAAAUUGUGUGAAUAAAACUAGGUUUGUGAUUAAA